UACAGAGGUCCCAAGCGUUGUUCGGAUUCACUGGGCGUAAAGGGUGCGUAGGUGGUGAGGUAAGUCGGAUGUGAAAGCUCGGAGCUCAACUCCGAAAUGGCAUUGGAAACUACCUUGCUCGAGGGUUGGAGGGGGGACUGGAAUACUUGGUGUAGCAGUGAAAUGCGUAGAUAUCAAGUGGAACACCAGUGGCGAAGGCGAGUCCCUGGACAACUCCUGACACUGAGGCACGAAAGCCAGGGGAGCAAACGGG
rnacentral:rRNA from 1 species